UUGCCUUAAACUAAUGAGUAAGGAAAACAAAGUGAGCAGUGGGAACUGCUCAGCGCUGAGAAAAUCUUGUGCAAGAAUUUAUGGAGGGGUUAUAGGCUGGCUGAGAGUUGAUGCUGCUUACUUUGCAGAACUCUCUCGCGCGGGCCUCUUUAACUC
rnacentral:snRNA from 1 species